rnacentral:misc_RNA from 1 species
AGUGAUUGCUUCUACACUGUGAAAAUUUGGCUGAGAGACUCAGACUGGUCAUGGGUAGACCUAUCUGGGGUUUGAUCGAUGCCACUCCUGGUUUCAGGAGUACCCUUCAUAAUAAACCUAGAAAUUCAGUAUUAUAAAGUUUAAUAAAAAACAACUUUUAACAAUGGAUCUCUUGGUUCUCGCAUCGAUGAAGAACGUAGCAAAGUGCGAUAACUAGUGUGAAUUGCAUAUUCAGUGAAUCAUCGAGUCUUUGAACGCAGCUUGCACUCUAUGGUUUUUCUAUAGAGUACGCCUGCUUCAGUAUCAUCACAAACCCACACAUAACAUUUGUUUAUGUGGUGAUGGGUCGCAUCGCUGUUUUAUUACAGUGAGCACCUAAAAUGUGUGUGAUUUUCUGUCUGGCUUGCUAGGCAGGAAUAUUACGCUGGUCUCAGGAUCUUUUUUUUUGGUUCGCCCAGGAAGUAAAGUACAAGAGUAUAAUCCAGUAACUUUCAAACUAUGAUCUGAAGUCAGGUGGGAUUACCCGCUGAACUUAAGCAUAUCAAUAAGCGGAGGAAAAGAAAAUAACAAUGAUUUCCCUAGUAACGGCGAGUGAAGAGGAAAGAGCUCAAAGUUGGAACCUGUUUGGCCUAGCUAAACCGGAUUGUAGACUGUAGAAGUGUUUUCCAGGCAAGCCGAGUAAAUAAGUCCUUUGGAACAGGGCAUCAUAGAGGGUGAGAAUCCCGUCUUUGGCUUGAGCAUUUGCCUUUUGUGAUACGCUUUCAAAGAGUCAGGUUGUUUGG